UACGAGGGGGGCAAGCGUUGUUCGGAAUUAUUGGGCGUAAAGGGCGCGUAGGCGGUUCGGUAAGUCCUGUGUGAAAUCCCUCGGCUCAACUGAGGAACUGCACGGGAGACUGCCGGGCUUGAGUUCGGGAGAGGGAAGCGGAAUUCCGGGUGUAGCGGUGAAAUGCGUAGAUAUCCGGAGGAACACCGGUGGCGAAGGCGGCUUCCUGGACCGACACUGACGCUGAGGCGCGAAAGCUAGGGGAGCAAACGGG
rnacentral:rRNA from 1 species